rnacentral:rRNA from 1 species
AACGAACGCUGGCGGCAUGCCUAACACAUGCAAGUCGAACGAGACCUUCGGGUCUAGUGGCGCACGGGUGCGUAACGCGUGGGAACCUGCCCUUAGGUUCGGAAUAACUCCCCGAAAGGGGUGCUAAUACCGGAUAAUGUCUUCGGUCCAAAGAUUUAUCGCCUUUGGAUGGGCCCGCGUUGUAUUAGCUAGUUGGUAGGGUAAAAGCCUACCAAGGCGACGAUCCAUAGCUGGUAUGAGAGGAUGAUCAGCCACACUGGGACUGGGACACGGCCCAGACUCCUACGGGAGGCAGCAGUGGGGAAUAUUGGACAAUGGGCGAAAGCCUGAUCCAGCAAUGCCGCGUGAGUGAUGAAGGCGUUAGGGUUGUAAAGCUCUUUUACCCGGGAUGAUAAGGACAGUACCGGGAGAAUAAGCUCCGGCUAACUCCGU